GACCGAGGGUGCAAACGUUGUUCGGAAUUACUGGGCGUAAAGCGCGUGUAGGCGGCUAAGUAAGUCGGGCGUGAAAUCCCACGGCUCAACCGUGGAAGUGCACUCGAAACUGCAUAGCUAGAGUCCUGGAGAGGAAGGUGGAAUGCUUGGUGUAGAGGUGAAAUUCGUAGAUAUCAAGCGGAACACCGGUGGCGAAGGCGGCCUUCUGGACAGUGACUGACGCUGAGACGCGAAAGCGUGGGGAGCAAACAGG
rnacentral:rRNA from 1 species